rnacentral:rRNA from 1 species
GACGAACGCUGGCGGCGUGCUUAACACAUGCAAGUCGAACGAAGAGCGAUGGAAGCUUGCUUCUAUCAAUCUUAGUGGCGAACGGGUGAGUAACGCGUAAUCAACCUGCCCUUCAGAGGGGGACAACAGUUGGAAACGACUGCUAAUACCGCAUACGAUCUAAUCUCGGCAUCGAGGAUAGAUGAAAGGUGGCCUCUACAUGUAAGCUAUCACUGAAGGAGGGGAUUGCGUCUGAUUAGCUAGUUGGAGGGGUAACGGCGCACCAAGGCGAGGAUCAGUAGCAGGACGGAGAGGAUGAGCGGCCAGAUUGGGACGGAGACAGGGCCCAGACGCAUUGGGGAGGCAGCAGUGGGGAAUCUGGCGCAAUGGACGAAAGUCUGACGGAGCAACGCCGCGUGAGUGAGGACGGCCUUCGGGUUGUAAAGCUCUGCUAAUCGGGACGAAAGGCCUUCUUGCGAAUAGUGAGAAGGAUUGACGGUACCGGAAUAGAAAGCAACGGCUAACUACGUG